UCUCAUCUACGCGUCACACUGCCACAAGAAUUCAGCGUAGCUUUUCUGUAUGGUAUAGUCCCCCGGUGACAAUUGAAUCGCUUCCGUGUACAACUCCUCUGCCAUAUCCGCGUCUCCCAGCUUUCGCCACGCCAUUAGUGCCAGUUUCGAAAGCACUUCUGCGUUGCGACUGGCUCCCUGUAGAACGGCCUCGAAGUUGGCUA
rnacentral:lncRNA from 1 species